UACGGAGGAUGCAAGCGUUAUCCGGAUUCACUGGGUUUAAAGGGUGCGCAGGCGGACAUUUAAGUCAGGGGUGAAAUCCAACAGCUUAACUGUAGAACUGCCCUUGAUACUGAAUGCCUAGAGUAAAGCUGAAGUGGGCGGAAUGUGUUGUGUAGCGGUGAAAUGCUUAGAUAUAACACAGAACACCAAUCGCGAAGGCAGCUCACUAAACUUUAACUGACGCUCAUGCACGAAAGCGUGGGGAGCAAACAGGAUUAGAUACCCUGGUAGUCCACGCCCUAAACGAUGAUCACUCGCUGUUGGCGAUAUAUUGUCAGUGGCUAAGCAAAAGUGAUAAGUAUCCCACCUGGGGAGUACGCACGCAAGUGUGAA
rnacentral:rRNA from 1 species